CCUGUCCCUCCCGCGGGGCCCGUUGGCUGACCACCUCUCCUCUGAUGGGCGUGGCUGUGGGCGUGGCUGUGGGUGUGGCGGGAGGGAGGAUCAGAAGAGUUUCAGCAUGACAAUGUCCCUGUGCACAAAGCAAGUUCCAUACUGAAAUGGUUUGUUGACUCGAGAUUGAUGUGGAAGAACUUGGCUGGCCUGCACAGAGCCCUGACCUCAACCACAUCGAACACCUUUGGGAUGAAUUGGAACGUCGACUGCGAGCCAGGCCUAAUCUCCCAACAUCAGUGACCGACCUCACUAAUGCUCUUGGGCUGAAUGGAAACAAGUCCCCGCAGCAAUGUUCCAACAUCUAGUGGAAAUCCUUCCCAGAAGAGUGGAGGCUGUUAUAGCAGCAAAGAGCACUGGCCAACCCUCAGAGCCUGAUUCCUCUCUAGGUUUCUUCCUAGGUUCCUGCCUUUCUAGGGAGUUUUUCCUAGCCACCGUGCUUCUACAUCUGCAUUGCUUGCUGUCUGGGGUUUUAGGCUGGGUUCCUGUAUAAGCACUUUGUGACAUUUGCUGAUGUUAAAAGGGCUUUAUAAAUCAUGAUUGAUUGAUUCAAUUGGACUAGUUAUUUUCAGAGGUGUACAAAAGAGUAAGCAAUAAAACUAAAUAAGAAAACCAAAAACCUUCUAAUACAAUAACAUAUUUACUUACAAACUCAGCUAUUACACUU
rnacentral:lncRNA from 1 species